AUAUAAGUAAAUUUGACUUUUUAGGUUCAUUCAAUUAAUGAUGUAUGUGGUCCAUAAUAUAAACCACAUGCAUCAUUAAUUGAAUGAAUCUAAAAAGUCAAAUUUGUUUAUAU
rfam:Medicago truncatula strain A17 chromosome 8, whole genome shotgun sequence.